UUUAUUUAUAAUAUUUAAUUAUCUAUUGAUAUAUAAAAAUAUAAAAGUAUAUACAUAUAUACUUUACAGAUGGCAAACAUAAAUACAGGAUCUGAGAUAAAUAAUGUUCAGCAAAAAAUAAUUAAUUUAGAAGUUGAUGUGUUUGCUGAAGCUGAAACAUCUCUAAAUAUAACAAUUCCUGCACCUUUAAAGAAUUUACUAAUGGCUAAUGGUUUCGAGAAUGAAACAGUUAUAGCUAACAUAAACGAUUCUGAUUUAAAAAAUAUUGUAUCAUUUGCAAGGAACGAUUUGCACAAAAUUAUAGACAAAGAAGAUCUGUCAAAGUAUUAUGGUCUGUACUGGAAAAAUCCUUCGCUAUUUGAAAUAGUACCUGGACAUAAACGCAUAAUCUCUCUUCUUUCUGAAUAUUAUAAAAAGAAGUUAUCCUCUAAAAAUACUGUGGAAAAAAUGUUUAGAAGAAAAGAAAGACCAAUUAAAAGAAUUGAGAAGAGAAGCCAAAUACCGCACCAAUUGAAUUCAAACCAAAAUCAAGCGAGUACCUCAUCUUCUCAAUUAUCUUCUAUGAUAAGUGAAGAUGAUGGAAAGGAAGAUUUAUCGACAUCUGAAGAAUCAUCGAAAUCCAUAAUUUUGGAAGAAAAUGCACGAAUACGAAAAGCAAUUAUUUCUUGGGCACAAGGCAAAGUAACUAAAGAUGGAUGGCAAACUUUAAAGGAAUCAUUUGAUAACAUAAGUAUAAGAACAAACUUAGAUGCAGGUGAAUUGAAUUGUAUUAUAAAAUGCUUUUGUGGUGCAAAUUACAAUAUAUCUCAAUUUUCUAAACGAGGUUUAAAAUCAAAACGUUGGAUUUAUUCUAAUUUUCAAGUGCAUUUACUUAAAAAACAUAUUCAAAACAUAAAUUCAUCUGCAACUAAAUUUGUUAAUAAAAAAAAUUAUAUUACUCAUUAUGUAUCAAAACCGCUGGAAUUUUCAAACGCGAAAAUAAUUGAUAAUAUUGAGUUAGAGAGAGCAGAUACAGAAAAUAUAGAAAACAUUAGUCAACAUAUAGAUAAUGAAAAAAAUAAAGUGAAUAUAGUGGAAGUUAUAGAACAAGCAGAAAUUAUUUUUGAUACAGCUGUAAAUGUAAUAGAUACAGUAGAAGUUACAGAAAAUCAAACUAAAAUAGACUCACAAGAAAUUAAUGAAGAACAUAAUAUUGACUGUCCUAUUUCGAAUUCUGAUUAUGUUGCUGAUUCUAAUAUUGAUUACAAUACUCAUACUCCUAGUUUUAAGUUAGAUGCCAGUCAAUGUGAUAAAUGGAAAAGCAUGAAAUAUCAACGAUCUGAAAGAUUAAAAAGAACUCGAGAAAAAUUAAGUCCUAAUCAAAGUUUGAUAACUAAUUAUUUUAUUUUGGCUAAAAAAGUUUCUAAAAUUAUGUGUGAUAAUUUAGAAGUAACAGAAACUAUUUUACCUAGAAUAAAAAAUUCAGAAAUAAAUUCUGCUACUAAAGAUAAUGAAUCACUAAUAAAUAACUUUUUGAAGAGACUUUUAGACAUGUCAUUAAAAAAUUCUGGAAGUGCAAACAGAAAUUCCUAUGAUGAAGCUACAAAAAAAUUUAGCAUUUAUCUGUAUUAUGUAGGCGGACGGUUAUUAUAUGAGACAUUACACGCAAAUUUACCAAACGCAUUACCUUCAAUAACUACUUUAAAUAGAUAUUCAUAUGAUAAACGUCGUACUGAAGAAGGUAAAAUAGAUUUUAAUGGCUUAGUGCAGCAUUUAAAAGAAAGAAAUGCUUCAAGGGUUAUUUGGAUUGCCGAAGAUGCCACACGUAUUACGGGAAAAAUUGAAUAUGAUUCUCGAUCAAAUAAAGUGCUUGGAUUUGCUUUACCUUUAAAAAAUGGUUUGCCCGACCAAGAUAAAUAUAUUGCUACAUCUGCAGAAGUUAUACAAAAUUUUUUUAAAAUUGGUACUAAAGCUACAUAUGCGUAUGUAAUAAUGGCUCAAUCGUUAUCUUGUAAUGUUCCUGCAUAUUGCUUAUCUUUGUUCAGCACAGAUAAUAAAUUUGACACAAAAGAUAUUCUUGAGCGGUGGACUUUUAUGAAAAAAGAAGCAAAAAAAUUUGAUAUAACUAUUGUAGGUUUUUCAUCUGAUGGUGAUACUCGUUUGUUGAAAGGAAUGCGUCUUAAUAAUUGUUUACCAAUUAUAAACAGUCAAAUAUUUCCAUACAGCGAAACAUGGCCUUGGUUUCAAAUAGACGUGAAUAAAGUCGAAGAAUGUUAUGUGCAGGAUACAACGCAUAUUAUAACUAAAAUGCGGACAAGAUUUUUAAAAGAAGGGAUAGUACUUCAAAUGGGAAAUUAUUUGGCUACUGUAGAUCAUCUGCAUUAUUUAGUAAAAAAUGUUCCUAAAGACAAACAUCUUUUAACUUCUUGCGAUUUGAAAGGAGAUGACAAAAUGAAUUAUUCUGCAGGAGAAAAAAUGUGUUCCUUAUCUGUAAUAAAGCAUUUAAAACAAAACGAUAAUACUGACGGUACAAUUGCUUAUUUAAAUAUAAUGAAUUAUAUAAUACUAUCUUUUUUAGAUAAUUCUACACUUUUAAGUGCUCGAGUGUAUUAUAUGUGGUACUCAGUCUUCUUUUUAAGAAUAUGGCGAGCAUGGAUAAAAAGAAAUAAGCAAUAUACUAUAAAAGAUAACUUCUUAACUAACAAUUGUUACCUAUGUAUAGAAUUAAAUGCUCAUAACCUAAUAAAACUAAUUACACUAUUUAAAGAUAACAAGCAAACUUUGACGCCUGAAAUGUUUCGACCUACAAUAUUUAGUAGUCAAAUGUGCGAAAAGCUUUUUCGGACAGCUCGAUCUAUGACUUCCACUUAUUCUACUGUGAUUAAUUUUAGUAUUAAGGAUUUAAUUUAUCGUAUUGAUAGGAUUAGGCAAAUAAAUUCUAUAAUGAACGAUUUAUCAGGAACAUUUAAAUUUCCUAGAGAAGAUAAAAAAAAGUUAGGAACUUUAAAUGCUCCUACAUACGAAGAUAUACAAAAUUUACAUAUUACAGAAGUUGUCGAGGAAGCUCUAAAAAAUGCUAUUGAAAAUACUGAAAAAUUAGGUAUGAAAGUUAUAAGUGAUGCGGAUUGGAAAUUUGUUGAUAUUUCUUUGCAAACUUUAGACAAAGAUAAUAAACUUGAUGAUGUAGAAUGCGAAAUUGAUAAUCAUUACACUAUAAACGCUAGAAACACAAAUGUCGACGAUAUUGAUAUUUGUGCUUCUGAUUCAAUUUUAUUUGAUAAUCCUGGUGAUUUACAAUUAGAGAGCCUAGAAUUAAAAGAUUUUUCAAAACAAGUAUCACAGGAAUCAAUAACGGAAAACUCGCCUUUCAUAGAAAUUAAAAUAGAUGAUAAAGUAAUAAUUGUUAAAAAAUCUUCAUAUUGUUGGUUUCUUGAUGAAUCUAAAGGUAAAGUAAGUACAGAUAGAUUACGAAGAUUUAUUACAAUUAAUAAAACAAAUAAAAGAACAAAAAAUUAUACAAAGCAAUCUCAAAAGAAACAAAAAUAUCUUCAAACUUCUGUUUCUUCUAAACAAGAUCAAAUGUGUAAUAAAGUAAUAGAAGACUGUUUCCUCGAAAAUGAUCCUAAUGCUUGUGAUACCAUACCUGAAAUAUUAUUAGAAAAAUAUUAUGCUGUUUUUUACGAUGACACCUAUUAUAUUGGCCGUGUUGUUGAGCAGUCUAACAACCAAGUAAAAAUGAAAUUUUUAAAAUCUGAACUGAAUUCUUUUAUUUGGCCACGCAAUGAGGAUGUCACGUUUGUAGAAACAAAAUAUAUUUUCUAUGGUCCAAUUGAACUAGUUGGAACCGGACCAUUUGCAUUAAAAAAUUCUGAUUUAGAGGCUAUACAUAAAAAGUACAAACUUACAAAACGCGAAGUUUUAAAAUAAGUUUAAUAUAUAAUAUUUUUCUUUAAUGUUUCUUUCAAUUCAUUUGUUUUUCUUUCUUCUUUAUUCGUAUUGUGCAAACUCUAAAUAUAUUUGAUUUUAUUUGUAUUAAAAAGAUUAUGUUUUUAUUGAAAAGAUUAUGUUGCUAUACAUGCAUACAUUACGUGUUAUAUUGUAAACUUAAUAUAUAGAUUAAAAUAUAUGUCACGUUGUAAACUGAAAUAUAUAAAUCUUUUAUAAAAAAAUGCAUAAAUAUUUCUUGUAUUAUAUUUAAUAUAAUUCUAUCUUAUCUCAACAGAAAAAUAGGCAUUACUCGGGCAUUGCUAGACAUUAGUGGGCAUUGCUUGGGAAUUAGUGGGCAUUACUAGACAUUAGUGGGCAUUGCUUGGGCAUUGGAGGGCAUUGGUGGGCAUUACUGGGCAUUAAUGGGCAUUAGGUAAAAAUUUUGAUAGUAAUGCCCAGGAAUUGGGCAUUAGUAGGCAUUAGUGUACACAAUUUUGACCAGCGGUUUACCCCUUGCAUCUGAUAGAAACGUAUAGGAACAAUUUCAGAUUAAUUCAUAUAGAGUCUUAUAGACCUUGAAUCGUAAUUUUCAUAUUCAGUACGAUAAGUAGAUAGGAUCAUAUAGAAAAGUAGUCGUAUUUAGAUAAAGUUUUAAUCGUUUAUUUCAGAUACGAUAAGAAACGAUAGAAUUUUAUAACUUUUCUAUCUGGCAGGAAAUCUAGUGUCCGAUAGAAACGAUAGAUUCAGAUAAAAUCAUAUUAAAUUUCUAUCAAAUUUCUAUAUGUUUCUAUCAGUUUCUAUCGUACUUUUUGAACAGGGUUCUUUCUCCGCCAAGAAGCAAGGAUCUGAAUUAACUGCAAUAUUUCCUUUCUGUUUCAGCUGCUGCCGCUCGCCGUCGGAUCUCCGUGGACUGCCCGGAUCGUCGCCUCGCUCAGGAAUUCACCAGGAAACUCGCAGGAUUCGUCACACAGGAU